rnacentral:rRNA from 1 species
UCUGGUUGAUCCUGCCAGUAGUCAUAUGCUUGUCUCAAAGAUUAAGCCAUGCAUGUCUAAGUACAAACCUUAAUACGGUGAAACCGCGAAUGGCUCAUUAAAUCAGCUAUGGUUCCUUAGAUCGUCUCAUCCUACUCGGAUAACUGUGGAAAAUCUAGAGCUAAUACGUGCUUACAAGCCCUGACCUCACGGGAGGGGCGCAUUUAUUAGAUCAAAAACCAAUCGGGGCUUGCCCCGUCUGCUUGGUGACUCUGGAUAACUUUUGUGCUGAUCGCAUGGCCUCUGCGCUGGCGACGUAUCUUUCAAGUGUCUGCCCUAUCAACUUACGAUGGUAGGUGAUAUGCCUACCAUGGUUAUAACGGGUAACGGGGAAUCAGGGUUCGAUUCCGGAGAGGGAGCCUGAGAAACGGCUACCACAUCUAAGGAAGGCAGCAGGCGCGCAAAUUACCCACCCCCGGCACGGGGAGGUAGUGACGAAAAAUAACGAUACGGGACUCUUUUGAGGCCCCGUAAUUGGAAUGAGUACACUUUAAAUCCGUUAACAAAGUAUCUAUUGGAGGGCAAGUCUGGUGCCAGCAGCAGCCGCGGUAAUUCCAGCUCCAAUAGCGUAUAUUAAUGUUGCUGCAGUUAAAAAGCUCGUAGUUGGAUCUGAGGACUCGAAUUGGUGGUGCAAACCAUACGGUGUUACUGCCGAUUCGGCCUACCUAGUCGGUGCUCGCUCUUGGUGUUCUUAAUUGAAUGCCUGAGUGCCCGGCAAGUUUACUUUGAAAAAAUUAGAGUGCUCAAAGCAGGCCAUUAGCCGGAAUACUUCAGCAUGGAUAAUGGAAUAGGACUUCGGUUUCGGUUCUAUUUUGUUGGUUUUCGGAACCCGAGGUAAUGAUUAAUAAGAGAGACAGACGGGGGCAUUCGUACUGCGGUGUUAGAGGUGAAAUUCUUGGAUCGCCGCAAGACGAACAACUGCGAAAGCAUUUGCCAAGAAUGUUUUCAUUAAUCAAGAACGAAAGUCAGAGGUUCGAAGACGAUCAGAUACCGUCCUAGUUCUGACCAUAAACGAUGCCAACUGGCGAUCCGAGAUCGUUUGCUUAUUGACCUCUCGGGCAGCCUCCGGGAAACCAAAGUUUUUAGGUUCCGGGGAAGUAUGGUUGCAAAGCUGGAAACUGUUCAAUUGCAACUCUGCUGUGACACCAAGUGGUCGGGUUACUUGGUCUGUUCUGGCCCGGAGUCGGUAGGGUUUCCGGCCUUGUGCUCUUUCCCUUACUGUUCUCUGUAACGCCGAAGGCGGGCUUCCACGGUGGGGAAGCGGUUGUACAAAAUCCCGCAAAUCCAGCCAAAAUGGGUUCCGGACUCUGUCCAACCUGCAACUGGUAACAGCCUCGGCUGGCUAACAUUUGAGCUGGGACUCGCUUGGGAGGAGCGAGGAUAAUAUAAACCUCUAUGUGACUGAGGUGAGGAAAUCUGGUUCUCGUAAAUGGCUGAGAUCCGAGCCUGUAAGUCAUAAAUUAGUUCCCAGCCAGAGGGGAGGUGUCGAAUUGAAGCCAGUGCGUGCCCUUACUAGUUUAAGGAUUUGUAUACUUCCUUUGGUGUACCCACCUGGAAGUGCCCAAGGGGUCCUAUCCCUGCACUCCAUCCCCGAUUGGAGUCAGGUGACGGCUCCUUACCCUACCAGACGCGGGGGGAAGGGCCUCUG